rnacentral:lncRNA from 1 species
AAGGUCUCCAUCUGUUAGGAAGGCUUGGAAGGCAUGUAACUUUAAAUCUGGAGGAGACAAGGCCAAAGAAACAAUUAAGUAAACUUUUACCAAGAGGAGACGGUAAUGGCCUUUUAUAAAGAGGAUAAAGGUAAGUUUUAGGGGAUUUGAGUCCAUCAUAUUAUUGAUCUGUCAUCUAAUAUCUUG